AACGGCAAGGAGCGGCGGACGGCCGAGUAAUGCCUAGGAAAUUGCCCUGUAUGCGGGGGAUAACCAUUGGAAACGAUGGCUAAUACCGCAUAAUACCUACGGGUCAAAGAGGGGGACCUUCGGGCCUCUCGCGUCAGGAUAUGCCUAGGUGGGAUUAGCUAGUUGGUGAGGUAAUGGCUCACCAAGGCGACGAUCCCUAGCUGGUCUGAGAGGAUGAUCAGCCACACUGGAACUGAGACACGGUCCAGACUCCUACGGGCGGCAGCAGUGGGGAAUAUUGCACAAUGGGCGCAAGCCUGAUGCGGGCAUGCCGCGUGUGUGAAGAAGGCCUUCGGGUUGUAAAGCACUUUCAGGCGUGAGGAAGGUAGUGUAGUUAAUAGCUGCAUUUAUUUGACGCUAGCGGACAGAAGAGGCACCGGCUAACUCCGUGGCCAGCAGCCGCGGUAAUACGGAGGGGUGCGAGCGUUAAUCGGAAAUUACUGGGGCGUAAAAGCGCAUGCAGGUGGUUUGUUAAGUCAGUAUGUGAAAAGCCCGGGGCUCACCUCGGAAUAGCCAUUUGAAACUGGCAGACUAGAGUACUGUAGAGGGGGGUAGAAUUUCAGGUGUAGCGGUGAAAUGCGUAGAGAUCUGAAGGAAUACCGGUGGCGAAGGCGGCCCCCUGGACAGAUACUGACACUCAGAUGCGAAAGCGUGGGGAGCAAACAGGAUUAGAUACCCUGGUAGUCCACGCCGUAAACGAUGUCUACUUGGAGGUUGUGGCCUUGAGCCGUGGCUUUCGGAGCUAACGCGUUAAGUAGACCGCCUGGGGAGUACGGUCGCAAGAUUAAAACUCAAAUGAAUUGACGGGGGCCCGCACAAGCGGUGGAGCAUGUGGUUUAAUUCGAUGCAACGCGAAGAACCUUACCUACUCUUGACAUCCAGAGAACUUUCCAGAGAUGGAUUGGUGCCUUCGGGAACUCUGAGACAGGUGCUGCAUGGCUGUCGUCAGCUCGUGUUGUGAAAUGUUGGGUUAAGUCCCGCAACGAGCGCAGCCCUUCCUCCUUGUUUGCCAGCACUUCGGGUGGGAACUCCAGGGAGACUGCCGGUGUAACCCGGAGGAAGGUGGGGACGACGUCAAGUCAUCAUGGCCCUUACGAGUAGGGCUACACACGUGCUACAAUGGCGCAUACAGAGGGCGGCCAACUUGCGAGAGUGAGCGAAUCCCAAAAAGUGCGUCGUAGUCCGGAUCGGAGUCU
rnacentral:rRNA from 1 species